GCUGGAGGUAUCAGAAGUGCGAAUGCUGACAUAAGUAACGAUAAAGCGGGUGAAAAGCCCGCUCGCCGGAAGACCAAGGGUUCCUGUCCAACGUUAAUCGGGGCAGGGUGAGUCGACCCCUAAGGCGAGGCCGAAAGGCGUAGUCGAUGGGAAACAGGUUAAUAUUCCUGUACUUGGUGUUACUGCGAAGGGGGGACGGAGAAGGCUAUGUUGGCCGGGCGACGGUUGUCCCGGUUUAAGCGUGUAGGCUGGUUUUCCAGGCAAAUCCGGAAAAUCAAGGCUGAGGCGUGAUGACGAGGCACUACGGUGCUGAAGCAACAAAUGCCCUGCUUCCAGGAAAAGCCUCUAAGCAUCAGGUAACAUCAAAUCGUACCCCAAACCGACACAGGUGGUCAGGUAGAGAAUACCAAGGCGCUUGAGAGAACUCGGGUGAAGGAACUAGGCAAAAUGGUGCCGUAACUUCGGGAGAAGGCACGCUGAUAUGUAGGUGAAG
rnacentral:rRNA from 1 species